AGCCCGCGUCUGAUUAGCUAGUUGGUGAGGUAAUGGCUCACCAAGGCGACGAUCAGUAGCUGGUCUGAGAGGAUGAUCAGCCACACUGGGACUGAGACACGGCCCAGACUCCUACGGGAGGCAGCAGUGAGGAAUAUUGGACAAUGGGCGCAAGCCUGAUCCAGCCAUGCCGCGUGAGUGAUGAAGGCCUUCGGGUUGUAAAGCUCUUUUAGUCGUGACGAUGAUGACGGUAGCGACAGAAAAAGCCCCGGCUAAAUUCGUGCCAGCAGCCGCGGUAAUACGAAUGGGGCAAGCGUUGUUCGGAAUCACUGGGCUUAAAGCGUACGCAGGCGGCCAUGCAAGUCAGGAGUGAAAUCCCCGGGCUUAACCCGGGAAUUGCUUUUGAAACUGCACGGCUAGAAUCCGGGAGAGGUUGGCGGAAUUCCGAGUGUAGCAGUGAAAUGCGCAGAUAUUCGGAGGAACACCAGUGGCGAAGGCGGCCAACUGGACCGGCAUUGACGCUCAUGUACGAAAGCGUGGGUAGCAAACAGGAUUAGAUACCCUGGUAGUCCACGCCGUAAACGAUGUGUGCUAGUUGUUGGGACCGUCAGGUCUCGGCGACGCAGAGAAAUCUAUAAGCACACCGCCUGGGGGAGUACGGCCGCAAGGUUAAAACUCAAAGGAAUUGACGGGGACCCGCACAAGCGGUGGAGCAUGUUGUUUAAUUCGAAGCAACGCGAAGAACCUUACCUACUCUUGACAUACCUCUUAGGACUUUCAGAGAUGAUUGUCUUCGGUUCGGCCGGGGAGGAUACAGGUGCUGCAUGGCUGUCGUCAGCUCGUGUC
rnacentral:rRNA from 1 species